rnacentral:rRNA from 1 species
GCUGGCGGCGCGCCUAACACAUGCAAGUCGAACGAGAAAGCCCGCAAGGGUGAGUAAAGUGGCGUACGGGUGAGUAACACGUGGAUAAUCUACCCUCUAGUGGGGAAUACCGCUGGGAAACCGGCGACAAUACCGCAUAAGCUCGAGAGAGGAAAGCAGCAAUGCGCUGGAGGAGGAGUCCGCGGCUGAUUAGCUAGUUGGUGAGGUAAUGGCUCACCAAGGCAAAGAUCAGUAGCCGGCCUGAGAGGGCACACGGCCACACUGGCACUGAAACACGGGCCAGACUCCUACGGGAGGCAGCAGUGGGGAAUCUUGCACAAUGGGGGAAACCCUGAUGCAGCGACGCCGCGUGAGCGAUGAAGCCCUUCGGGGUGUAAAGCUCUUUCGGCAGGGAAGAUGAUGACGGUACCUGCAGAAGCAGCUGCGGCUAACUACGUGCCAGCAGCCGCGGUAAUACGUAGGCAGCAAGCGUUGUUCGGAGUUACUGGGCGUAAAGGGUGUGUAGGCGGUUGGAUAAGUGUGGUGUGAAAUCUCCCGGCUUAACUGGGAGGGUGCGCUACAAACUGUCUGACUCGAGUGUGGGAUGGGUAAGUGGAAUUCCUGGUGUA